rnacentral:rRNA from 1 species
GAUGAACGCUGGCGGCGUGCCUAAUACAUGCAAGUCGAGCGAACAGAUGAGGAGCUUGCUCCUCUGACUUUAGCGGCGGACGGGUGAGUAACACGUGGAUAACCUACCUAUAAGACUGGGAUAACUUCGGGAAACCGGAGCUAAUACCGGAUAAUAUAUUGAACCGCAUGGUUCAAUAGUGAAAGACGGUUUUGCUGUCACUUAUAGAUGGAUCCGCGCCGCAUUAUCUAGUUGGUAAGGUAACGGCUUACCAAGGCAACGAUGCGUAGCCGACCUGAGAGGGUGAUCGGCCACACGGGAACUGAGACACGGUCCAGACUCCUACGGGAGGCAGCAGUAGGGAAUCUUCCGCAAUGGGCGAAAGCCUGACGGAGCAACGCCGCGUGAGUGAUGAAGGUCUUCGGAUCGUAAAACUCUGUUAUUAGGGAAGAACAAAUGUGUAAGUAACUAUGCACGUCUUGACGGUACCUAAUCAGAAAGCCACGGCUAACUACGUG